CCUACGGGCGGCAGCAGUGAGGAAUAUUGGUCAAUGGACGAGAGUCUGAACCAGCCAAGUAGCGUGAAGGAUGACUGCCCUAGGGGUUGUAAACUUCUUUUAUAUGGGAAUAAAGUGUUCCACGUGUGGGUUUUUGUAUGUACCAUAUGAAUAAGGAUCGGCUAACUCCGUGCCAGCAGCCGCGGUAAUACGGAGGAUCCGAGCGUUAUCCGGAUUUAUUGGGUUUAAAGGGAGCGUAGGUGGUUUGUUAAGUCAGUUGUGAAAGUUUGCGGCUCAACCGUAAAAUUGCAAUUGAUACUGGCAGUCUUGAGUACAGGAGAGGUAGGCGGAAUUCGUGGUGUAGCGGUGAAAUGCUUAGAUAUCACGAAGAACUCCGAUGGCGAAGGCAGUCUACUGGACUGCAACUGACACUGAGGCUCGAAAGUGUGGGUAUCAAACAGGAUUAGAUACCCGAGUAGUC
rnacentral:rRNA from 1 species